GCAGGAAAUGGGACGUAGAAGAAUGAGUCAUUGGAAAUAGAGUCACAAAGGAAACUGGGUUCUCAGAGGAAAGACAGUUUGCAGUUAGAGCCAAGAAGAGAAGCAAAUGGAGAAGGUGAAGGUGGAAGGGUCCUGUUAUCAACCAGGGGAUUUUCCCGGAGUUCUGAAGAGAAUUGUACAAGAAUUUGUCCAGCCACUUUAACCAAACCUAUCUCCAGUUGAUAGAAAGAGGAAAAGAUAAACUGGGGAAGAAAACCUGUGAAACAUCUCCUGGGCUUUUAAUAUCAGAGGUUGAAAUAAAAAAUCAUUUUAUUAGUUGAA